rnacentral:rRNA from 1 species
CCCUUAGAUGUUCUGGGCCGCACACGCGCUACACUGAAGGAGGCAGCGUGUACUCCUGGAUCGAAAGAUUUGGGUAACCCGCGAAUCUCCUUCGUGCUAGGGAUUGAGGUUUGCAAUUAUCCUUCAUGAACGAGGAAUUCCCAGUAAGUGCAAGUCAUAAGCUUGCGCUGACUACGUCCCUGCCCUUUGUACACACCGCCCGUCGCUACUACAGAUUGAAUGAUUUAGUGAGGACUUCGGACUGGGACCGAUGCGGCUUUCGGGCUGCGUCGGUAUUCUGGAAAGAUGUCCAAACUGUAUCAUUUAGAGGAAGUAAAANUCGUAACA